rnacentral:lncRNA from 1 species
AGAUGGGGAGUAAAACCCAAGAAGCUGCUGGCCAUUGGCUAGAAAUCAAACAAAACAAAGAAUUAAUUGGAACUAAGGCUGUACAGAGUGCUAAUCUAUACCAGUCAUGGGAACAGGCAAGAAAAGCCAGGGGCCCAGGCAGCAUAGACGGAGAACGUCAAGAGCAAGGACUGCGUGAAAAGGCCUGGGAGGUCCAAGGAAAUGUCCAGAUUCUUCUGGAAUGGGCUCAUUAUGGAUGCCUGGAUUUAAUUAAGCAACCCAUUCUACUGCCAGCUGGCCAGAGUUUGGACAACACCAUCACCUCCUUCUUCUUGCUGCGCUGAAGAAACAAAGAUAAUGACACUUUCCCAAGGCUGGGGCUGGGUAAGGCUUAAUUUGGGAGUGUUUGGAAAUGACUUUGAAGACGCACAGGUUAUU